GACGAACGCUGGCGGCGUGCUUAACACAUGCAAGUCGAACGGUGAAGGGACCAGCUUGCUGGUUCUGGAUGAGUGGCGAACGGGUGAGUAACACGUGAGUAACCUGCCCCCUUCUUCUGGAUAACCGCAUGAAAGUGUGGCUAAUACGGGAUAUUCUGGGUCUGUCGCAUGAUGGGCCCGGGAAGGAUGCGCCUUUGGGUGUUUUUGGUGGGGGAUGGGCUCGCGGCCUAUCAGCUUGUUGGUGGGGUGAUGGCCUACCAAGGCGGUGACGGGUAGCCGGCCUGAGAGGGUGGACGGUCAUACUGGGACUGAGACACGGCCCAGACUCCUACGGGAGGCAGCAGUGGGGAAUAUUGCACAAUGGGCGCAAGCCUGAUGCAGCGACGCCGCGUGAGGGAUGGAGGCCUUCGGGUUGUAAACCUCUUUCGCCAGUGAAGCAGGCCUGCUCCUUGUGGGUGGGUUGACGGUAGCUGGAUAAGAAGCGCCGGCUAACUACGUGCCAGCAGCCGCGGUAAUACGUAGGGCGCGAGCGUUGUCCGGAAUUAUUGGGCGUAAAGAGCUCGUAGGCGGCUGGUCGCGUCUGUCGUGAAAUCCUCUGGCUUAACUGGGGGCUUGCGGUGGGUACGGGCCGGCUUGAGUGCGGUAGGGGAGACUGGAACUCCUGGUGUAGCGGUGGAAUGCGCAGAUAUCAGGAAGAACACCGGUGGCGAAGGCGGGUCUCUGGGCCGUUACUGACGCUGAGGAGCGAAAGCGUGGGGAGCGAACAGG
rnacentral:rRNA from 1 species